rnacentral:ncRNA from 2 species
GACCAUUCAAAUAGAUUCACUCAUAUAAUAGCGGAAAUAGGGUCCGCGAGUUUCUACCGGUUUGCCGUAAACAAACUGACUAUGAGAAGCAACGAAGCAGAG